AUUAUACUCCCUUCGUUCGGAAUUACUUGUCAUAGAAAUGAACGUAUCUAGACGUAUUUUAGUUUUAGAUACAUCCAUUUCCGAGACAAGUAAUUCCGAACGGAGCGAGUACCAU
rfam:Triticum urartu cultivar G1812 contig1040918, whole genome shotgun sequence.